ACUGAGGCCAAUAAAAGUUUUCUUUACCCCCCCACUCCUCAAAUGAAGCGCUAAUGUCAACGUCUCGAGGUAGAGAAGGUCUUUAGCAAUUCAAACUCAUUGAAAUCACAAGUUAUUCAGACAAUCAUCUGAGAAACUCGUGGCAAAAUGAGAGCUAAGUGGAGAAAGAAGCGUAUGCGUAGGCUGAAGCGUAAGCGCAGGAAGAUGCGUGCAAGGUCCAAGUAGAUUGAUGUCCCAAUUCCGUGACUGAAGCCACAGGGACGCAGUAUUCCGAAAAAGUUCAUUGAUUUACAGAUUGGAAUGUAAUUUGUUUAUCAUUGUAACAAACAAAAAAAUCAUAAAACGUUGGGGUUUUAUUCAAUUGAAGCUUGGAUACUUUCCUUCUUUUUUUAAUAAAAUGUUCUCCUGAAA